rnacentral:rRNA from 1 species
GAUGAACGCUGGCGGCGUGCCUAAUACAUGCAAGUCGAGCGAACAGACGAGGAGCUUGCUCCUCUGACGUUAGCGGCGGACGGGUGAGUAACACGUGGAUAACCUACCUAUAAGACUGGGAUAACUUCGGGAAACCGGAGCUAAUACCGGAUAAUAUAUUGAACCGCAUGGUUCAAUAGUGAAAGACGGUUUUGCUGUCACUUAUAGAUGGAUCCGCGCCGCAUUAGCUAGUUGGUAAGGUAACGGCUUACCAAGGCAACGAUGCGUAGCCGACCUGAGAGGGUGAUCGGCCACACUGGAACUGAGACAUGGUCCAGACUCCUACGGGAGGCAGCAGUAGGGAAUCUUCCGCAAUGGGCGAAAGCUUGACGGAGCAACGCCGCGUGAUUGAUGAAGGUCUUCGGAUCGUAAAACUCUGUUAUUAGGGAAGAACAAAUGUGUAAGUAACUAUGCACGUCUUGACGGUACCUAAUCAGAAAGCCACGGCUAACUACGUG